rnacentral:rRNA from 1 species
UAGGGAAUCUUCGGCAAUGGGGGCAACCCUGACCGAGCAACGCCGCGUGAGUGAAGAAGGUUUUCGGAUCGUAAAGCUCUGUUGUAAGUCAAGAACGGGUGUGAGAGUGGAAAGUUCACACUGUGACGGUAGCUUACCAGAAAGGGACGGCUAACUACGUGCCAGCAGCCGCGGUAAUACGUAGGUCCCGAGCGUUGUCCGGAUUUAUUGGGCGUAAAGCGAGCGCAGGCGGUUUGAUAAGUCUGAAGUUAAAGGCUGUGGCUCAACCAUAGUUCGCUUUGGAAACUGUCAAACUUGAGUGCAGAAGGGG